UACAGAGGGUGCGAGCGUUAAUCGGAAUUACUGGGCGUAAAGCGUGCGUAGACGGUUAUUUAAGUCGGAUGUGAAAGCCCCGGGCUCAACCUGGGAAUUGCAUUCGAGACUGAAUAGCUAGGGUGCGGUAGAGGGAAGCGGAAUUUCCGGUGUAGCGGUGAAAUGCGUAGAGAUUUGGAGGAACACCAGUGGCGAAGGCGACUUUCUGGUCUGUAACUGACACUGAGGCGCGAAAGCGUGGGGAGCGAACAGG
rnacentral:rRNA from 1 species